rnacentral:rRNA from 1 species
GACAGAGGGUGCAAACGUUGCUCGGAAUUACUGGGCGUAAAGCGCGUGUAGGUGGAUUGGUGUGUCAGAUGUGAAAGCCCUGGGCUCAACCCAGGAAUUGCACCUGAAACUACCAGUCUUGAGUGGUGGAGAGGGAAGUGGAAUUCCUGGUGUAGAGGUGAAAUUCGUAGAUAUCAGGAGGAACACCGGUGGCGAAGGCGGGUCUCUGGGCCGAUACUGACGCUGAGGAGCGAAAGCGUGGGGAGCGAACAGG